ACAUUCAAACUAAGUUAUAUAUAUCUAUGGAUCUUUUACAAAAAAAAAUAAAAUAAUGCUUAUUAUAAAAUAUAAAAAUAAUGAAAUAUUAAACAUAUCAAAGGAGAUGUUUAAUUUAAAAAUUUCAUAUGGAAAUAAAUACUAGACAAGAGAGUCAAAAAGAUGUUCUCUGGAUGUACCGAGUGUAACAUGAGCCUGUAGUAAUAGGUGAAAGGUCCAAAAGGGUGAUACCAUAUUUCAAAAUGGAAAAGUAUUAUGAUUCUUUCACAAAAAGAAAAUCACUGUUAAUGUUUUUGGUAUGAACAAGUUUUGGCUGGUGAUCUAUCUGAAAAUUGUAACAUUCCUUUUUUGUUAAAUUGUAAACAGAAAUAAUAAAACCAAGUUUUUUUAAAAAAAAUCUUUGUUAUUAUAAAGACAUGUGCUUGAUAAAAAGUCUUUUCCAAUACGGGAUUAAGAUAAUUGGUUGAUUGUCUUGUUGUUUAUGUUGAUCCAUUAUUAUGAGAAAAUAACACGUGAACCAAUUUUUAUUAUUCUCCUUAAACAGUUUAAACUUAUUAUGCCCAUUAUUUUUUUAAAAACAAA